rnacentral:lncRNA from 1 species
GGUCCUCCUCUGCCCUGGGUUUCUAGUACAAGAGUAGGGAUUUAGUCAUAGCCACUUAGUUUCCUGACGAAAUGUGGUGAAGUUGGAAAGAGGGAAAGAAAGCACAAACGGGAGUAAGAAGCAGAGGGGGUGGGGCUGGGAACAAUCUAUUAAUCAAUCUCCUCCCAAGCCAGAAACAGUAAUUGUUGAGGCUCACACAUCCUUCACCUGCUAACAAUCUGCAGCUGCAAUACAACGUUCUGAUUAUGAAUGUCAAAAAGGCAGAGCAUGAAAUUAACUUCCCCUUAGUCAUUGGGCACAGGGAGACACUACACUAAUUCACUGCCCUUGGUAUGAAAACUUCCCAUGACAACGUCGCAUCAAAUUAGGGCCCAUGCUACCCUGGUGCCAUCUCUAUCUCUCCCCAGUGCACUCUUUUACAAUCAGGCCCAGCCUGAAAACAAGGGCCCUGCUUGUUCCAGAAAAGUUAGGGCGACAGGCAGGAGGUGAUGGUUAACUGGGACAGUAGGGAGAAGGGCUGCUCUGGUCCCCCGUGGGGGCUGCCCACUGAAAAGUGGAGGUGGGAUCUCAUUGUGCUAAGGAGUAACUCACUCGGCAGAGCAUCUGAUGCAGUAAUGUACCACUAGCCCCACCUGAGAGAUGGGAAAACUGAGGGGGGCGGCAGAAGGGUGGAGGUGGCAAAAACCUUCUCAGGCUGCCUUUUGCGCAACCUCUAAAAAGUACAGUCUCAGGCUGCCCACCAGUCAGUCCAUCCCUCUUAAAAAAUUUAAGCACACUCAGUUAUUCACAGGCCAACUCUAAAUGCCUCUGGCACAGGGCGCAAAGUGCUCUGUUAGUGCCUCCAAGCAGCCCACCGCCAAGGCACUGUCAUCAGCUGAGGUCUACAAGGGGAUAACCCUAGGGGUCUGCAGAACGCAGGCCUCCUAAGCCAACACAGGGAGGGGAGGAAGGGAGGUCUUACUCCUUGGGCAACCCUCAAGAUGGGGCCUGACCUCCAGCCUUGGGAUCACUUCUUACCCCUCCCCCAAUUCUCAGGCAGGGUGCCAGGAACCUUUGUGGGUGGGGAUGGACCCUGUUUCCCUCUCCCUCCCGUAGGUUUUCACCCCAUCGCCCCUGUGGCCCAGAGGGGAUAUCUGCUGCACGCUGGUGGCUUCCACAAGGACGUGCAUGUGUGCAUGCCCAGGUGGUAGGUGGCAUGGCCUGUAUACACAAGGGAGGACAGCCACAUGCUCACAGAGGACAGAGACGACCUCUAUCUCAGGAGGGGAUGGUAACACAGGCAUGCCCCAGCUGGGAGGGGAAACUCCCCUAUCAUUUCCAUCACUAAAAUCUCCUGCGAGUUUCCAGCCAGCCCUUUGAGGCAGAUGCUGCCCUGGACACACCUCGCAGAUGGAUGCACUGAUGGCCAAGAGACUAGAACCACCAGAGGUUCUUCGUGCAAGGGGAGCAUUCACUCACCUACAGCCAAUCAUCACAAGGGAGCGGACUGGCAGCUCAGAGCAGAGAGAAGCUAAGCACACCCUGCCACCCUGGAAGGAGUCACCAAGCCGACUGGGGGAGCUGGAUGCUUUUCCCUCUUGCCUUUUUGGUCUCUUAUGAUCUCCUCCAGUUUUGUUCUGUGGCCUUCUAAAAUAGCCAUUAAUUAGAGCCUGGUAAUUAACUUACUGGUUCAAGUAAUAUUUUGCAAAGGAAUUCCAUUAAAGAGUCGAUUUGCAUAUUCUAAUAUGGGGCCUGGAAAUAGGCAGGGCUACCUGGAGGAGAAUGAAAGCAGUCCCAUGGCACCUGUCAGGCCUGGCACCUGGGCCUGGGCUCUGCCUGGUAACCGAAGGUGAGAGGGGAGGCAAAGAGUUGCUCUCUGGGAAGUUCUCCCCAAGAAGGUGGGGAGCUUAUUCACACACCGGCCAGCUCAGUGUCCAUGCACCCAGACAGAAAGUGCACACAUGCACACAAGUAUGCACGUGAGUGCUCACAGAACACACUAUACACAUGGGCACAACAGGGUAUACGUACACAGACAUGUACAAACAACUGGCAGAUGCAUACCCAAGAAGAAAACACACGAUAAUAACAAUAGUAGCCAACACUUAACCUGAACACAUAGAUUGAAUCAUAUGCAAUUGCCUGUAUUUGGCCUCCCAAAACAGCAACUUUAUACAGUCUCACCCCAUAUGAUGUACCAGGCACUGUUCCAAAUACUUCACCUGUAUUAACUCAAUUAAAUGCACAGACAUGUAUAAGGACAUUAACAUAUAAUGUACACACAUCUUCAUGAGGACAGGUGCACACUUGCAACACAUACAAAAGACGUACACAGACAAACAUAUGCUUGUGCAAAGAAAGGCUUCUCCAGCCUUUGAAACCCCAGCCUUGCUGAUCCCAUUCUCACUAGCUAAUUUCCACCGUUCCUAAAAACAUUGCCCAGCUCAGAUCUUGGGAAGGUACACAAGGGAGCUCCAGAUCUAAAGGAGAGUAAUAAAAAUGAGAAAGCAAAAAAUAAAUUGAUUCUUCUAUACGUCCAGGUCGUAUUCUGUGGCUCUCCCCUUCCUCUCUAGAGAUGAGACUCAGAAUCAUGUGCUCCUGGGCCGGUCAGCCCUGCCCCCAAAGGUGCCCAUGGGGCUCAAGUACAAUGCUGCAGUUGAGAGGGGAUCUGGUUCCAAUGCCUGGCUUCUGCAUAGGCCCCAGCUCCAUGCCUUUGACUGUGUGCCUCAGUUUUCCUGGCCAUAGAGCAGCCCUUUCACUGCCUACCUACCCUACAGGGCAGAAGACCUCUUAAAGUGCUGUGUAAAUACAGGGCAUCCUUAUGAAUGAUAGGAUUAGGAAUUAAACCUGAUUUCCUUAUGGAGAGGAGAGGACGGGAGGAAGGUGGAAAGAAGAAGGGAGGGGGAGGAGGAGAGGACAGCCAGGUGAGCCUUCCUUACAGGUAAUUAAUGAAUUCCUUGUCAUACCUCUUGGAAGGCAGAGGCUCAUUUAACGUGUAGGAUCCACCUACAUGGGACCUCUCAGAGCUGAGGAAGACCAAACAGGGCAACCAAGAAUCCUGCAAGAGGCUUGUCAGAACACUCAGGCAAAGGACAGGAAUAGACAAGUCUCAAAAGAAGCACUGCCACUGGCCAUGAAACUCAGGAAAGCACUAUUCGAUCACCAACAAGCAAAUGAAUGCAAAUAACAAAAAAAUGCCCUUUUUCUGCCUAUCCAAACGAUAAAGACUGCUUUAAUGAUGACAUCCAAUGUUUUGAAGGGUGUGAGGAAACAGGUAAGCACUCUCAAAAAUCACUGGGGAGGGGUAUGAAUUAUUACAGGAUUUUGGUGGGUGACAUUUUUCUAAGAAAAAUCUCAAACUCUUCAUAUUUUUAGACCUAGUAAUUCUGUUUCUAAGACUUUAUCCUUUGGGAAAAAUCAGAAAUGUAGGCAAAGAUAAAUAUUCAAGGAUUUAAAUCCCAGUGUCAUUUUUAAUAAAGAAAACCUAGACAUAACCUAAAUGCCUAAAUGAUUAAAAACAAGUAUGACCCAAACGGAAGAUGGAACAAUGAACUUUUAAAACUGAUUAUUAAAACACACAUGAGAGCUUUGCUUUCCCAGGUGUAAGCAGGAAUCCCUAGGAAAACAUCCUGUGCUCUAGGUAAUAAUGGCUGUUUCUUAAGUUUAAGGCAAUAAUGACCCAUCUUAAGCUCGAAUCACCUUACCAGGCACAGCAACAUCUAUUAUCUCUUGAACCUCAGGAUGAGGCCACAUGAUUGCUUAUUAUUCCCACACUGUGGAUGAGAAAACUGAGGCUUACCAAGACGAGGUGACUUAACCCUACCAAUAUUAACUGAAAACCUAUGACAUAUUAAUCUAA